rnacentral:rRNA from 1 species
GACGAACGCUGGCGGCGUGCUUAACACAUGCAAGUCGAACGAAGUGGCGAACGGGUGAGUAACGCGUAAUCAACCUGCCCUUCAGCGGGGGACAACAGUUGGAAACGACUGCUAAUACCGCAUACUGAAGGAGGGGAUCGCGUUUGAUUAGCUAGUUGGAGGGGUAACGGCCCACCAAGGCGAGGGUCAGUAGCCGGUCUGAGGGGAUGAACGGCCAGAUUGGGACUGAGACACGGCCCAGACUCCUACGGGAGGCAGCAGUGGGGAAUCUUCCGCAAUGGGCGAAAGUCUGACGGAGCAACGCCGCGUGAGUAAUGACGGCCUUCGGGUUGUAAAGCUCUGUUAAUCGGGACGCGGUACCGGAAUAGAAAGCCACGGCUAACUACGUGCCAGCAGCCGCGGUAAUAC